GGCCUUAUUCAUAUCAUCAGGGUUUUAUUGGUAUUAUUAAAUUCUUCACCGAUAAAAUGAUGCAUGUAUGAUUAAAUACAGUUAUUGACUUCUACCCUACGUCAUUUGAUGUCUGGUGAAGAGUUGUCUCAUUGGCAAUUAUACCAAACUUCUUAUUUUUAUACAUGUAUAAAAGCAAGGUAUGAUCUGGGCCGCAUUCAAUAUUGUAGCUGCUACGUAGUGCUACGUAGAUUUUGACUAUUGAACGUGUAGCUAUAGACUAGCUACUACAUAGAUAUUCAUAGCAGCUACGUAGCCACUACGUAGCUGCUACGAUAAUGAACUAAACCCUGACUACGUAGCUGCUACGAUAAUGAACUAAACCCUGGUCUUAUGUAAACAGAAUAAUUUAGUGAGAUGACAACAUGUAGAAUGCCUAUCCGAAACUCUUUUAAAACGGUCACUUGAUUGUAGUGCUUAAUAUAAUAUGAACAUACUCUUUCACAGGAUAAAAAGGAAACAUGGUUAUUUCCUCAAUGAGGCAAC
rnacentral:lncRNA from 1 species